AUCUAGGUCAUGAAACAUAGAUUUCAACGAACCCUAAUUCGAUUUCCAGAUUCGUAGCCUCAGGUUCCAGUGCAUGUUUCAUCGAUGAUUUAUUUUCUGAAAAUUAGGAAAUUUAUUGUGCUUGUAAAUAUGUCUGUUAGCUUCGUUUUGAUAUACGGUAUGCGUAAUUUGGAAUUAUAUUGAUCAAGUUAUGAACCGUUUUCUGAAACUGCAGGAUUUCUGAGUCAUCUAUGAUUUAUGUGUUAAAUUAUAUUUUAUCUUGUUCCGAUUCAUGCGAUUCCAACUGGAUAUGUUUAUAGACUGAUAAAUCUGAUUCUCCGUGAAAUUUCAUGGUGUUUCGUUGAAAGAAUGAUUUAAUUAGUAUUUUUAAAGUUGAAUGCUCUGUUCUGAAAUUCUGCUGGUGUUACUGUACUAAAUGAAUUAUUUCUAUCCAUGUUUUACUGAACUGUUUUAAUAUGGUAUAAAUCACAUAUAUGUGAACGUUGUGUUAAAAUUUCAUAAUGUUUGUAUGUACGGUUUAAGAGAUAUGAAUUUCCAAAGUUGAAGUACCGAAUCUGCCAGAUUUCCUUGUAGUUCUUUGGAAUAGAAUAUGUGGAUUUGGAUUUCAUAUAUUAUGUGCGUAUGUGCUAUUAUGAUUAUCGUAUGCUUAUAUGUUCACAUAAAUGUAUAGCUUAGGAAACGCAUGAAUGAUGCAUUUAAGAUAAUCACUUUGGUAUGUUAUAACUAUGAAAGUGGUUCUAUGAAAUAAUAUGAUAAUCCCCUUCUCUUGUAUGUGAUACCUCUGGUAUGUGGUACGUGUACGUUGCAUAAUAUAUGUGAAUUACAAGCAUGUUUAUUUAUGUGUUUUGAAUUAAUUUUGCGAGUCAUUUGAAUAAGAAGUUCUAAGGAAGAAAAUGGUUUGAAUAUGUUUGUUAGCUAUGUUGUUAGGCGUUUAUGUGUUUAUUAUGCUAAGCGCAAGUUCGAUCUAACAUGGUUAUAUUAUUGGAGUUGAAUAAUUUGUCAUUUAUGGUAUUGCAUGGUCAAGUAUAUAGGGACGUCAGAAUCUUAAUAUGGUUAUCGGUCGAGUAGACACGGGAAUACGAGGGGCCAGUAUUCCAACUACGGUACUAUAGACUAGAGUGGGUAGCUCCCCUCAAAACAGGCUCAGAAUAUCGACGUCUAUUACCGAUAACCAUGUUAUGAAUCUGCUAGGGAUACCGUCACAUUAUAGUAAUUGUAUUGACAUAAGUAUGAGUAUGUUUAUUUAUACGUUUUGAAUUGUUUAUAUGAUUUGUCAUUUAUGAUAUUGCAUGGUCAGUAUAGGAAGUCAGAAUCUUAAAUGGCUAUCGGUCGAGUAGACACGGAAAUACGGAGGGGCCGGUAUUCCAACUACGGUACUAUAGACUAUAGAGUGGAUAGCUUCCAUUAAUAAACGGGCUCAGAAUAUCGACGUCUAUUACCGAUAACCAUGUUAUGAAUCUGAUAGCUAAGUGGUCGUUGCAUCCCCAUGUUAAUACACCAUUUUGUUUACGUGAGUACACCUUGCGAGUAUACGUUAAGCAGGGGAAGCUCUUCGUCCAUGUCAAGGUUGAGUUUCUCGAAGCGGUUAUGGAAACUGGUGGAGCGGAGUUCGAGGAAUCACGAGCUUUUAUAUCAACCGACUAUUUUCAAAGAUUUUAUUAGUCACUUUCUUUUUAAGUGUUUUUAACUUGAGAAGUUUAUAGUUGUAAUUAUAAUGUACUCUAUUUAGGAAUCUAGUCUAUUAAACCGGGGUGUAUGUAAAAUAAAGUUAUUUUGUGUUCCGUUGUAUUCCAAGUAUUGCUUUAAAACCCCGUCUAUGUUGAA